GAUGAACGCUGGCGGCGUGCCUAAUACAUGCAAGUCGAGCGAACGGACGAGAAGCUUGCUUCUCUGAUGUUAGCGGCGGACGGGUGAGUAACACGUGGAUAACCUACCUAUAAGACUUGGAUAACUUCGGGAAACCGGAGCUAAUACCGGAUAAUAUUUUGAACCGCAUGGUUCAAAAGUGAACGACGGUCUUGCUGUCACUUAUAGAUGUAUCCGCGCUGCAUUAGCUAGUUGGUAAGGUAACGGCUUACCAAGGCAACGAUGCAUAGCCGACCUGAGAGGGUGAUCAGUCACACUGGAACUGAGACACGGUCCAGACUCCUACGGGAGGCAGCAGUGGGGAAUCUUCCACAAUGGGCGAAAGCCUGACGGAGCAAGGCCGCGUGAGUGAAGAAGGUAUUCGGAUCGUAAAGCUCUGUUAUUAGGGAGGAACAUAUGUGAAAGUAACUGUGCAAGUCUUGACGGUACCUAAUCAGAAAGCCACGGCUAACUACGUG
rnacentral:rRNA from 1 species